rnacentral:tRNA from 1 species
GCCUUCGUGGUGUAACGGUAGCACACUCGGCCCGAAUUCGAGAGGUCCAGGUUCAAGUCCGGCGAGGGCA